UUUAUCUUGGUAGUAAAUAUACCACAAUUGGAACAAUACAGAAUAGAUUAGCAUGACCUUUAUGACACGCAAAUUUGUGAAGCAUUCAGUAUUCUA
rnacentral:snRNA from 1 species